rnacentral:rRNA from 1 species
AUUGAACGCUGGCGGCAGGCCUAACACAUGCAAGUCGAACGAGUGGCGGACGGGUGAGUAAUGUCUGGGAAACUGCCUGAUGGAGGGGGAUAACUACUGGACACGGUAGCUAAUACCGCAUACCAUCGGAUGUGCCCAGAUGGGAUUAGCUAGUAGGUGGGGUAACGGCUCACCUAGGCGCCGAUCCCUAGCUGGUCUGAGAGGAUGACGAGCCACACGGGAACUGAGACAGGGUCCAGACUCCUACGGGAGGUAGCAGUUGGGAAGAUUGCACAAUGGGCGCAAGCCUGAUGCAGCCAUGCCGCGGGUAUGAAGAAGGCCUUCGGGUUGUAAAGUACUUUCAGCGGGGAGGCGUUACCCGCAGAAGAAGCACAGGCUAACUCCGUGCCAGCAGCCGCGGUAAUUC